rnacentral:rRNA from 1 species
GUGAGGAAUAUUGGUCAAUGGGCGAGAGCCUGAACCAGCCAUGCCGCGUGCAGGAAGAAUGCCCUAUGGGUUGUAAACUGCUUUUAUUUGGGAAUAAACCUUUCUACGUGUAGAAAGCUGAAGGUACUAAAUGAAUAAGCACCGGCUAACUCCGUGCCAGCAGCCGCGGUAAUACGGAGGGUGCAAGCGUUAUCCGGAAUCAUUGGGUUUAAAGGGUCCGCAGGCGGAUUAAUAAGUCAGUGGUGAAAUCUCAUAGCUUAACUAUGAAACUGCCAUUGAUACUGUUAGUCUUGAAUAUGGUCGAUGUGGGCGGAAUAUGACAUGUAGCGGUGAAAUGCUUAGAUAUGUUAUAGAACACCGAUAGCGAAGGCAGCUCACAAGGCCAUUAUUGACGCUCAUGGACGAAAGCGUGGGGAGCAAACAGGAUUAGAAACCCUAGUAGUCC